rnacentral:pre_miRNA from 1 species
CCGGUACUCGCUUUGUCCGGAAUUACAUGUCGCAGAAAUGAAUGUAUCUAGACGUAUUAUAGUCCUAGAUACAUCCAUUUUUAUCCAUUACAUCCACAAAUAAUUCGGGACGGAGAGUGUAUCUA